GAUGAACGCUGGCGGCGUGCCUAAUACAUGCAAGUCGAGCGAACGGACGAGAAGCUUGCUCCUCUGACGUUAGCGGCGGACGGGUGAGUAACACGUGGAUAACCUACCUAUAAGACUGGGAUAACUUCGGGAAACCGGAGCUAAUACCGGAUAAUAUAUUGAACCGCAUGGUUCAAUAGUGAAAGACGGUUUUGCUGUCACUUAUAGAUGGAUCCGCGCCGCAUUAGCUAGUUGGUAAGGUAACGGCUUACCAAGGCAACGAUGCGUAGCCGACCUGAGAGGGUUAUCGGCCACACUGGAACUGAGACACGGUCCAGACUCCUACGGGAGGCAGCAGUAGGGAAUCUUCCGCAAUGGGCGAAAGCCUGACGGAGCAACGCCGCGUGAGUGAUGAAGGUCUUCGGAUCGUAAAACUCUGUUAUUAGGGAAGAACAAAUGUGUAAGUAACUGUGCACAUCUUGACGGUACCUAAUCAGAAAGCCACGGCUAACUACGUG
rnacentral:rRNA from 1 species